GGAACUCCCUCUAGUUGCUACCAGCAAAGAUUGUCAAGGGCAGGGUUACUUCCAAUGCCUGUUUGCUUGCAUAGAGAGGCUACUCGGGUUCCUAAACGUGAAACAUAUCGUGCUACCAGCAGCAGAUGAAGCCAAAUCCAUAUGGACUGACAAAUUUGGUUUCAGCAAGAUGACCGAAGAGGAGGUGAAAGAAUGCAGAAAAGACUACUCGGUGAUGAUAUUUCAUGGAACAUC